CUUUCCUGAGGACACAAAUGAACAAGUGGAACACCGCCAUCACCCUAAACCAAACAGACGGACAAAUAAUAAUCCCAGACCAUUCACAGUUCACAGGCUAUUCCAGGG